AGCGAACGCUGGCGGCAGGCCUAACACAUGCAAGUCGAACGAACCUUUCGGGGUUAGUGGCGGACGGGUGAGUAACCCGUGGGAACGUGCCCUUAGGUUCGGAAUAACUCAGGGAAACGUGUGCUAAUACCGAAUGUGCCCUUCGGGGGAAAGAUUUAUCGCCUUUAGAGCGGCCCGCGUCUGCUUAGCUAGUUGGUUGAGGUAAUGGCUCACCAAGGCGACGAUCAGUAGCUGGUCUGAGAGGAUGAUCAGCAACAUUGGGACUGAGACACGGCCCAAACUCCUACGGGAGGCAGCAGUGGGGAAUCUUGCGCAAUGGGCGAAAGCCUGACGCAGCCAUGCCGCGUGAAUGAUGAAGGUCUUAGGAUUGUAAAAUUCUUUCACCGGGGACGAUAAUGACGGUACCCGGAGAAGAAGCCCCGGCUAACUUCGUG
rnacentral:rRNA from 1 species